AUGCUCGCCUUCCGGGACACGUUGGAGAUUUGUGGCCUAGUGGAUCUGGGUUUUGUGGGCUUACCAUUUACAUAUGAUAAUAAGAGAGCAGGUUUUGCGAAUGUGCAAGUUAGGCUGGACAAAGCGGUGGCUACAAAUACAUGGAGGAACUUAUUUGCGUUUUCGUCAGUUACACAUGUACCGUCUCCGUGCUCUGACCAUGUUGCUAUAGUACUCAAAGGGUCAGCUGAUCAAGGAGCGGCCAGAUCUAAACAAAGACGUUAUGAAGGUUUUUGGGAAAGGGAUUCGACGCUCCCGGAGGUGAUAAGAGAUGCAUGGGAGGCGGUGGGAAGUGUACAGAAUUUGCAUCGGUUACAUGACGCGUUGACUAAAACCUUGUCCUCCUUAUGCUUAUGGAGC
rnacentral:rRNA from 1 species